CAGUAAGUAGUUUAAUUUAAAAUAUUAAUUUUGGAGAUUAAUGAUGUAUAUCAUAUUUUACUGA
rnacentral:tRNA from 1 species